rnacentral:rRNA from 1 species
AUUGAACGCUGGCGGCAGGCCUAACACAUGCAAGUCGAACGAGUGGCGGACGGGUGAGUAAUGUCUGGGAAACUGUCUGAUGGAGGGGGAUAACUAAUGGAAACGGUAGCUAAUACCGCAUACCAUCGGGUGUGUCCAGAGGGGAUUAGCUAGUAGGGGGGGGAAAGGCUCACCCAGGCGACGAUCCCUAGCUGGUCUGAGAGGAUGAACAGCAACACUGGAACUGAGACACGGUCCAGACUCCUACGGGAGGCAGCAGUGGGGAAUAUUGCACAAUGGGCGAAAGCCUGAUGCAGCCAUGCCGCGUGUAUGAAGAAGGCCUUCGGGUUGUAAAGUACUUUCAGCGGGGAGGCGUUACCCGCAGAAGAAGCACCGGCUAACUCCGUGCCAGCCGCCGCGGUAAUAC